AAGUCAACUUGACUGAAGGAGCAAUCUGACAGUAGAGUGGCGCAAGGGUGCGUAACGCGUAAGUAACUUGCCCAAGGUAAGGAAUAACGUCGAGAAAUCGGCGCUAAUACCUCAUAAUGCAGCGGAUCCGCAUGGAUAUGUUGUUAAAGGUUUACCGCCUUGGGAUAGGCUUGCGUCUGAUUAGCUAGUUGGUGUGGUAACGGCACACCAAGGCCACGAUCAGUAACUGGUCUGAGAGGAUGAUCAGUCACACUGGAACUGAGACACGGUCCAGUCUCCUACGGGAGGCAGCAGUGAGGAAUAUUGGGCAAUGCUCGAAAGAGUGACCCAGCAACGCCGCGUGGAGGAUGAAGGUAUUCUAUAUCGUAAACUCCUGUGAGAGCAGACGAAAGACAGAUUAUUAAUCUGGAUGACUGUAUGCUCAGAGGAAGCCCCGGCUAACUACGUG
rnacentral:rRNA from 1 species